UCCGCUCCAAAUCCGCCCCGCCAUGAUCCGCCUUGAGUCCGCCCCGAAUCCGCCUCGAAAAUUAUUUAUAUUUUAAAAGAUAUUCCUAAAAAAUAAUGUAUUUACAAAAAAAGUUUAAAAUACAAAUAAGUUAGUACUCUCAUUUUUAAUGUAUUUGAAAUUUUUGAAUUUUGUUUUGAAUUGUGAUUGAUAUUUUUGAUUUUUAAUUGAUAUUAUUAAAUUAUAUAUAUAAUAUUAUUAAAAAUUAUUAUUUUAUAUUUUACAAAAUAUUAAUAAUAUUAUAACUUUAUAAAAUAUUAGUUGGCGGGGCGGAUUCGGGGCGCCGGCGGAAAGCAGGUUACAAGGCAAUGCGGAUUAUGGAAUGCAUUUUUUAACUUGUCACGGAUUCGGGGCGGGAGGCGGGACGAGAUUUUGCUAGUCGGGGCGGGAGUGGAGGCAGGGGUCCCGUCCCUAAAUCCGCCCCAUUUGCAACCCUAUUCACAACAUUCAACUAUUGAGGUUGUUAUAGAGUAACAAUAAUUUUUAUAUUUUUAGCGAAAAAAAAUAGUUUUGUUUUCUUAUUCCAGUUGAAGGUAAUAUAUAACAGCUUCAUUAGUUUUAAUAGUAUUUUCGGUAACUUAAUAUAUAGUAAUUAUAACAAAAUUAGAUAAUAGGAACACAUUUUUAGGAUACUUUUAUAUAAAUGUCACAUUUAUGCCAAAGUUUUUUAAAAAAAAUCUGCUAAAGUCUAAAUAUAAAUCACAAUCCAAUCAAAAAUAAAAAGUUUUUCUACUCAACCAACUCCAUCUAGCCCACUCAGCCAGAUUAUAAAUAGGAAAGAAAAAAAAAAUUGAUCAUCAUCUCCCGUUCUCCUUCUCCGUCGCCGCAGGCCUGCAGCCGAUGAGACAGGGUUUUGGCGGCUGGAGUUCGGCCGCGAGGAUCUCCUAGGAACCGUAGAGGACUACGAUCAUUACGUGUCCCUCCACUACAUGUCGCUGGAGGAGUGGGUGCCAAACAUCAAGAUGGCCCCACAUGUCGCGACCCCACAUGUAUUGACCCCACAUAUAGAAAUAUUUUUAAAAAGUAUCAGUAAUCUAGCCAGCAUUAUUUUUUUGAUCUGUACCGAUAUUUAAAAUUAUCACUAUAUAUCGUUUUUACUAUAGUGAGUUGGACGGCAUUUUUAAAGUUUUUUAG
rnacentral:lncRNA from 1 species